rnacentral:SRP_RNA from 1 species
UAUUAUUAGCUCGUGCAACAAAUAUAUUGUAACCUGGUCAGGACUGGAAAGUAGCAGCCAUAUCAAUCCCUAUUUGUGUGCACUUUUUUUAUGGUGAUU